rnacentral:rRNA from 1 species
AUUGAACGCUGGCGGCAGGCCUAACACAUGCAAGUCGAGCGGAUGAAGGGAGCUUGCUCCUGGAUUCAGCGGCGGACGGGUGAGUAAUGCCUAGGAAUCUGCCUGGUAGUGGGGGAUAACGUCCGGAAACGGGCGCUAAUACCGCAUACGUUCUGAGGGAGAAAGUGGGGGAUCUUCGGACCUCACGCUAUCAGAUGAGCCUAGGUCGGAUGAGCUAGUUGGUGGGGUAAAGGCCUACCAAGGCGACGAUCCGUAACUGGUCUGAGAGGCUGAUCAGUCACACUGGAACUGAGACACGGUCCAGACUCCGACGGGAGGCAGCAGUGGGGAAUAUUGGACAAUGGGCGAAAGCCUGAUCCAGCCAUGCCGCGUGUGUGAAGAAGGUCUUCGGAUUGUAAAGCACUUUAAGUUGGGAGGAAGGGCAGUAAGUUAAUACCUUGCUGUUUUGACGUUACCAACAGAAUAAGCACCGGCUAACUUCGUG